UACAAAAAUCGUUGACUGGCC
rnacentral:siRNA from 1 species